UGAGGAAUAUUGGUCAAUGGGCGAGAGCCUGAACCAGCCAAGUAGCGUGCAGGAUGACGGCCCUAUGGGUUGUAAACUGCUUUUAUAUGGGAAUAAAGUGAGGGACGUGUCCCUUAUUGCAUGUACCAUACGAAUAAGGACCGGCUAAUUCCGUGCCAGCAGCCGCGGUAAUACGGAAGGUCCAGGCGUUAUCCGGAUUUAUUGGGUUUAAAGGGAGCGUAGGCUGUUUGUUAAGCGUGUUGUGAAAUGUAAGAGCUCAACUUUUAGAUUGCAGCGCGAACUGGCAGACUUGAGUGCGCACAACGUAGGCGGAAUUCAUGGUGUAGCGGUGAAAUGCUUAGAUAUCAUGAAGAACUCCGAUUGCGAAGGCAGCUUACGGGAGUGUUACUGACGCUUAAGCUCGAAGGUGCGGGUAUCGAACAGG
rnacentral:rRNA from 1 species